rnacentral:rRNA from 1 species
UACAGAGGUCUCAAGCGUUGUUCGGAUUCAUUGGGCGUAAAGGGUGCGUAGGCGGCGCGGUGAAGUCGGGGGUGAAAUCCUGGAGCUCAACUCCAGAACUGCCUUCGAUACUGGCGAUCUUGAGUCUGGGAGAGGUGAGUGGAACUCCGAGUGUAGAGGUGAAAUUCGUAGAUAUUCGGAAGAACACCAGUGGCGAAGGCGGCUCACUGGCCCGGUACUGACGCUGAGGUGCGAAAGCGUGGGGAGCAAACAGG